rnacentral:rRNA from 1 species
UACGGAGGGUGCAAGCGUUAAUCGGAAUUACUGGGCGUAAAGCGUGCGCAGGCGGUGAUGUAAGUCAGGUGUGAAAUCCCCGGGCUUAACCUGGGAACUGCAUUUGUGACUGCAUUGCUGGAGUGCGGCAGAGGGGGAUGGAAUUCCGCGUGUAGCAGUGAAAUGCGUAGAUAUGCGGAGGAACACCGAUGGCGAAGGCAAUCCCCUGGGCCUGCACUGACGCUCAUGCACGAAAGCGUGGGGAGCAAACAGG